GGGCAGUGAGGCGGCCGGCUGUGCCGUCGGAACCCAGAUGCUGGCGGAGGAGCUGCCAGCCGUCUGAUUGUUAUUGGAGAACGUGGAUGGAAAGCUGGAGGAAAUACGGAAACAGUUAAUAAUGGCUCAGGGGAGGAGAGACUCGAGCACACUCACCUGCUGCACCUCCUCAGUCCACAGCUGGCCAGCAUUCAGAAACAGUGACAAACUCGUCAGACACAUUCACUGGGAGGAACCCAAACGGGGAGCUGAUCACUGUCUACAAGGAAUAAUGUGAAGCAUGCAACAAAGGGAAGGAGACUUGAAUCAUGCAGUGUCACAGCGGGUGUGAGCCCACACAACGGUUAAACAUCAAACACUUCUCCUCCUCGUGAAAUGUUUUCUACGUUUUCCAGACCAAUGAAUCUUGCAUUCUAAAGUAUUUUUUACCAUUUUGAAACACAUCCUAAUGCAUAUUGGAAUACUCUAUCAAUAUGAUAAUAUUUAAUUUAUAUCAUUAUAAAAAAGGAUAUUUAUAUAAAAAAGUAUGAAUAUAAAACCUAUACUAUUUUGUUUUAAUAAAUAAAGAACAAAACACUAAAGCCAAGCAUUUUAAAUACAAUUUAAGCAUCACAAUAUUAUUAGGAAAGGAAUAAUAAUAAUAGAUCAUAUUUUCUUUUUUAUUCCUCUGUAAAUUUUACGUGUUUUUCAAUUUUACAAAAAUAUCAGUUAUUUAAAUAUCUUUUUUAAAGUGAAUGCCGGAUGAUGGUAUUAUGAUCUAAAUUUAAAAUGAGCAUCACAAUUAAAUACCCAAUAUUGGCUAAAUUAAAAAAUAAAAUAAAAA